rnacentral:lncRNA from 1 species
CCUAGCAUCCCAGAAGGUAAGAAUAGAGGCUCCUCCAGCCCCAUGUCCUCGUUGAUUGUCAUGGUUAUCCACAAAGACAAGCGCUCUGUCAGAAGGUAAGUAUAGAGGCUCCUCCAGCGCCAUGUCCUCGUUGAUUGUCAUGGUUAUCCACAAAGACAAGCGCUCUGUCAGAAGGCAUGAAACCCCAACCUUCUCCCCAGUUCCUAUUUUUGAAACAUAAGAUAUACGUUGAUGUAUCAUUUCACAAUAGUUUGAGAGU